AUGGCGGAAGCGAACUCGUACGAGGAGCAGCGCCGGCGGCAGAUGGAGGAGAACCGCCGGAAGCUCGACGAGCUGCGCCUGCACCACCUCUCCGCCGCCGUCCGCGAGGCCGCCGCCAGGCCCAACCCCAACCCCAACCCCAAGCCCAAGCCGAAGCGGAAGGCCCCGGAGCCCGGCGAUCUCCGGCGGUCCGGCCGCGUCGCCGGCCUCCCGGAGCAGCCCGACUACCUCGAGGGCGCGCAGCACCGCGACGAGCAGGGGGUGUACGCCGCAUACGACGCCCGUAUUUGGAAAGGACCGACCGACGAGGAGAGGGCCGCCGCCGUCGCCAGGGCCGAGGAGCUCCGGCGCCGGAUCCACCGCAUUCGCCGGCCCGCCUUCGUCAAGACCUUGACCCACGUCUGCGCCAGCAGGGCAAAACUGAUGAUGAUCCCGAAGCACUUCAUCGAGCACCUCCCGGCGCACGAUGAGGCGGUCGUCUUGGUGGAUGAGGCGGGUGUCGAGUUCCACAUGCUGUGCAAUGCCAGCAAACAGGGCAUCUGCUACCUCAGCAAGGGGUGGAGAGAGUUUGCCGUCCACCAUGACCUUGAAAACGGCGAUUGCUUGGUUUUCCAGCUGAUAGAAAGCGCAAAGUUCAAGGUCUACAUUUUCAGAGCAAACCCAGACUAUGAAAGCAAUGAAACUUCCGAUGACUCUGAGGAUGAACAGUAA
rnacentral:rRNA from 1 species